CCCCCUGCGAUUUGGAAAUCGCACUAAAUCAUAUUGCGAUUUCGAUAUAAUUGCGAUUAAUUGUGCAGCCCAAUCACCAACUUUUUUCUUUUU